CAUCGACAACCACCAACUGUUGGUUUGGUUGGCCCACAGUGGAAAGCUACUAAAAAGCAUAACAGGCUAUUUAGUUGGCCUUUAUGGCUGAAUUCUCACUUUGUUGUAUCAUCCACAGACGGAAGUUGAAUACGGCCGAGAAGAAGCUUCCAACCAAACCAGUCCCCCAGUUACAGAAAGCAACCUUGUCUAGACCAGAGGACAUCUAUGAAAACAUGAAAUGGUCAGCCAAGCCGAUCACUGAUCCUGAUGACAUGAACUACGCAGAGCUCAAUAUCAGGCCUGCUCCUUCACCCAGGAUGCAGUGGAAUAACAAGGAAGAGGAUGACGAUGCAGUUAUCUACAGACAACUGCAAACACACUGAGGUGGUCAGAGAACUUUGAUAUCUAGACCUCAAGGCCUACAAUAUGGUAAACUCAAGAAAAGUGAAUGAAAAAAAUUAUGUUUAAGUCACGUUUUUUAAAUAGCAAAAUACAAGCUGUUAUACUGUAUGUGUAUGUACAAACAAUGUACAGUGUACAAUAUACAAAAUAAACAGUAAAAAUAAUUAUACAAAUAUAAAAUGAUUACAUGCCUCCCCCAAAUAUGGAGGAGGCAGGUGGCAGAGGGAGGAGGUAGGGAACUGGUCUGUCUGCCCAAUAUAAAGGAUCAAAACUGGCAGAGGAAUAAAAAUAGCAUGAAUAGGAAAGUAUACCAAUUUCAAUUGAGGACCAGGAUGUUGACAACUGUGCCAUACAGAUUGCAAAAUAGUUGGGAAGAGAUUUUUGAUGUACCGAUUCCAUGGUACAAGCUGUAUGAGUUGAUAUAUAAAACAAUGCAAGAUUCAAGACUUCGUGCUUUUCAGCUAAAAUGAUUGUAUAGAAUUCUUGCCACCAACAAAAUGUUGAAUAUUUGGGGCAUAAAAUCAUCGAAGCUCUGCAGAUUUUGAUGUGAGGAUACAGAAUCAAUAGACCAUUUAUUUUGGUAUUGCUCUCAGGUAGCCUGUUUCUGGUCUCAGGUUCAGGAAUGGCUGAAAAUGCAUAGCAUUGAUCUAAAAUUGACUCUAGAAAUAGUACUGUUAGGAGAUUUAAAAUACUAAUACUCUUAGUAAAAGUAUUUACCUUCAACUCGCAAUCUGUGGAUUCUAUUCGAUUAGAUAAAAUGUUGUUUGCUGUUUUCUUCUUUCUUCUGUCUUUUCCUUUUUUCUCUUUUGUUCAUUCUCUUGGUUGUUGGUGCAUUGGGGGUUCUUGGGGGUGGGGAAUGGAAUUAAUUGUAUUUUUAACUUUUAUUCCUGAGGGGGACUGUGGGAGGGUCUCGAAUGGUUGAUGCACAGCUAUUUGGGAACUGUGGGGGGAUCUUGGAGGGUUCGGGUUCACGUUUUUGGCCUGGUGGUAGAUCGGUCAACAUGCCCUUGAGCAGGGCAUUGACCCUGGAUGCUUCUAUGUGUCUCUCUGAAUGGGAAUCAGUUGGAUGACUGGUAUGAUGUAGUUGUUGAGCAGCUUCACUGCAAAUACAUUGUAUGUUUUGAAUGUUCAAUAAAUGAGAAAAAAAAAAGUUUCUAAUCAAUAACCUA